UGGUUUUGUCUGAUUAGCUAGCCUGU
rnacentral:piRNA from 1 species